GUGUGUGCAUGCACAAUACGCCCAAGUCAUUUAAAGUUCCCAUGGCAUGGAAAUUUCACUUUAUGAGGUUUUUUAACAUUAAUAUAGGUUCCCCCAGCCUGCCUAUGGCUAGAA